CUGUAUUAGAAGAUCGAGUCUACUAGUUUAUAUGCUAAAAUAUACCCCUCAAACUUAAGAGCUAUUCAAAUAAGGUACAGCCUAUUUGAAACAGGAAACAACCUAAAAAACAGGGUAAUGUUCUACAGCACGUGUCCAAGUGGGCCUAAAAGCAGCCAACUUUUAAAAAGCGUUAAAGCUUUCACACAAGCCCCCUGAAUCCCCAAACCAACCUCCAACCCUUAUACAGUACUAAAUAACUCUAUACACUUAUAGAAGCUAUAAUGCUAAAACUAGUAACAUGAAGAAGUCCUUCUCCUAAAUGCACAUGUAAGCCAAAAAGAACAACUCAUUGGCACUUAACGCUAUUGAACCCAAAGCAACAACCCUUCAAGAAAACCUUGCUAACAUUAACGUUAACCUUACACAAGCGCAUUUCAGGAAAGAUUAAAAGAAGUGGAAGGAACUCGGCAAAUUUUAACCCCGCCUGUUUACCAAAAACAUCGCCUCCUGAAAAUAAUAGGAGGUCCAGCCUGCCCAGUGACCAAGUUAAACGGCCGGGGUACCCUAACCGUGCAAGGUUAGCGUGCGG
rnacentral:rRNA from 1 species